UUCCAAGGCUUUUUUGUCGCUGGUGUCAGGAGUAUUUUCAUAUUCCAAUACCGAUAAAUCUUUGAGGUUUCUGGGUGUCUCUGGGGAGCCCCUGGGCCAGAUUUUCCUCCAGACUCCAGCCCAUCUCUUCAGAGCAGCUCUGCUUGAGUUCACAGAUGACUGCCAAGCUUCAGACACCCUAGAGAAAAAGGGUUGAGACCCAGUGUGGCCAUGCCAGCUAAUUGGACCUCACCUCAGAAAUCCUCAGCCCUGGCUCCAGAGGAUCAUGGCAGCUCCUAUGAGGGAUCAGUGUCCUUCAGGGACGUGGCUAUCGAUUUCAGCAGAGAGGAAUGGCGGCACCUGGACCCUUCUCAGAGAAACCUGUACCGGGAUGUGAUGCUGGAGACCUACAGCCACCUGCUCUCAGUAGGAUAUCAAGUUCCUGAAGCAGAGGUGGUCAUGUUGCAGCAAGGAAAGGAACCAUGGGCACUGCAGGGUGAGAGGCCACGUCACAGCUGCCCAGGGUGAAGGUACGCUCGAGCGUGGUCAUUGAGGACAAGUCGACGAGAGAUUCCUGAGUACGUCUAUGGUCACCCUUUGCGGUAAGCUUGUGCGCUCAGAAGAAGCCAGGGUAACAAUGGGACAAACUAAAAGUAAAUAUGCCUCUUAGCUCUAUUAAAAUUCUUUUAAA
rnacentral:sRNA from 1 species